CAAUGCCGCGUGUGUGAAGAAGGCCUUCGGGUUGUAANGCACUUUUGUCCGGAAAGAAAUCAUCGGGGCUAAUAUCCCUGGUGGAUGACGGUACCGGAAGAAUAAGCACCGGCUAACUACGUGCCAGCAGCCGCGGUAAUACGUAGGGUGCGAGCGUUAAUCGGAAUUACUGGGCGUAAAGCGUGCGCAGGCGGUGCUGUAAGACCGAUGUGAAAUCCCCGGGCUUAACCUGGGAACUGCAUUGGUGACUGCAGCGCUGGAGUAUGGCAGAGGGGGGUGGAAUUCCACGUGUAGCAGUGAAAUGCGUAGAGAUGUGGAGGAACACCGAUGGCGAAGGCAGCCCCCUGGGCCAAUACUGACGCUCAUGCACGAAAGCGUGGGGAGCAAACAGGAUUAGAUACCCUGGUAGUCCACGCCCUAAACGAUGUCAACUGGUUGUUGGGGAUUCAUUUCCUUAGUAACGUAGCUAACGCGUGAAGUUGACCGCUGG
rnacentral:rRNA from 1 species